GCAACAUACUUUUGCUCUCGCUUCGUUUUGCGAUAGAUAUUUUUCUCGGACUCGAUAUCCGAAACACGUUUUCGAUGGUCGCUGAAAAAGAAUGUUUUGUUCGUAGGUAAAUGCUCGGGAAUCGACUGGUCAAAUUGUCCAGAAGAGCACGUUCGGAUUCUUCGGUAAAAUAAAAACGAAAGCGAACUCUCAAACGUUCCUCGGAGACAACCGAUCGACGAACAGCGAUCCGUCAGGAUUUUUCGAUCGCCCAUACUACGGUAAUAAACGUGAAGCGAGCGUUGCACCUGUUGCGUCGCGAACGGCUUUGCUGGUAAUCCGGCGAGAUCGUUCGUUCGAAAACGGCUUAAGCGUCGCGUGGGAGUACAAAGGAGUGCCCGAUAACACUGGAGCAACGAGAGAGCAGCGGAAAACGCGGUGACGACAGGCGUUGCUUUCGCGGCACGUGAGAUCAAACGGAUACUUCGAUUCGCAACCGGAAAAGGUGUAAAACCGCGGCAGAAAGAAAAGAAUAGAGAGCGAGGGGACAGACAAGAUGAUGAUGGACGCGGCGAACGGAACGAAAACGGAAUCGUGCUUUCGGCUGGAAGAUCUGGAGGAUCCUCGAACGCCGUUUCUGCGACGAAUCAGCUACGGCAUUAUCCUGCCUGCCAUCUGUUGCUUGGGAAUCGUUGGGAAUAUUUUAAACUUGGUCGUCCUUACCAGACGCAACAUGCAAGGAACCGUUUACAUCUACAUGAGAGGUUACUCGGCAGCGGCGCUUCUCGCGAUUUUUUUCUGCAUCCCUUUCGCGCUGAGGGUUCUUAUUCACCAGGAAACAGGCCAAUGGAGUAAUUGGCCUCAAGCCUUUUACCAUGCUCAUCUCGAGCUUUUCCUCGGAAACGGUUGUUUAGGAGUCGGAGUGAUGAUGUUGCUGGCGUUAACCGUGGAGCGUUACGUUAGCGUUUGCCGGCCUGGUCAGCACACUCGUCCACUCUGCGGUCCUCCACAUUUAACGGUGGCCGUCAUUUCCUUGGCAACGUUUAUCGUUUAUCUGCCGAGCGCGUUCCGAGCGCAAAUUACGACCUGUCUCCUCGAACCUGGAGGCCCCGUCGUUUAUCAAAAGAGGGAAAACCAAUUGUACCUCGACUCGAUGUUUCAUCAAGUGUACAAAGUGGUGCUGGAGAUCAUUUUCAAAGUGGUGCCAGCGAUUCUAUUGGCUGGCUUCAAUCUCCGCAUCAUGGUAGCCUACAGAAGAUCUUGCGAGCGUCGCCGACGAACGACUCUAGCCAGGACUGCCAGCAACGGCGUGGACUCGAGGACGUUCGCGGAGGAACGGAGGCUGGUCCUGUUGUUGGGCAGCACUAACAUCUUAUUCGUCGUUUGCGUCAGUCCCAUGGUAAUUCUCAACAUCACCUUACGGGAGAGUAAUCUCAAUAAUUACGCUUAUCAGGUGUUCCGUGCAAUAGCAAACUUUUUGGAGGUAAUCAAUUAUUCCAUCACGUUCUAUAUCUACUGUUGGUUCUCGGAAGAUUUCCGAAACACGUUGAUUCGCACGUUGCAAUGGCCUUGGGGGAAGAGCAGCAAGGGAAGAAGAGGACUUCCAAUUAAACGUUCUCCUCUGCCUCAGGCAACCAUCACCACUGCAACAAUAACCGACGCGACUCCUGGACAUUUCACGCGUGCCAACUUUUAGUUUCCGGCAAACGCGUGAAAAAGGUUACAAGGCGCCAGAUUGAUCUCUGCCUUUUUAACUUUGCAGAGUUCAAAGAGAAACGUUCGCCUAGUCGUAGAUAGUUGGAAAACGAGUAGAGGUUUUUGUCCAAUUUCUUUCGCGGACGAUCGCAAAGGUUACUUCAGUGUGUAGCAUGAAUUUAUGUACUUCCUCCAGACACGUUUUACCGUAACACGAUAUCGAACAGAAGGCUAGACGCGGAACUACGAUUACGAUAUCUCCACAAAUAUUGACGCGUUUUAUGGAUCGGUCAGCAAUAUUUGGUCCUCGCGAUAUCGGGCAAACGUUCCUCACACGAAAACGUUCCAAGAGCUAUGUACGUGAUUUUCGGCGAGGUCCUCUUCGACGUUGUAAAUAUUCCUGUGUAACGCGUGGGAACUUUGUCGGUGAAUGCGAAAUCGCGAGGACAACGAAGAUGAUCGUAAUCCUGUUUCGCGGUGCUUUCGAGUUAACUUUCAUCGUUGCCGAAUUAGAAAUUAUCUGAAGAUGAAAGAUUCGAGAAUACUGCCUCGUUUUUCGAGAAUACUGCCUCGUUUUUCGAGAAUACUGCCUCCUUCCUAGCUGUGAAAAACACGUUGACAAAUAUGUACCGAAGCCGCGCCAGAGGAGAUCGUUUCGCGAUUUUCGACGCAAAACACGUUCGUUUCGAAAGAGCUACGACACACGAACGAAACAAACUCGCGGAAAAUUUUAGAACCGAUUUGAAGAAAUGUGAAGGACAAUAAGAUUUACAAUUAGUCGCACGCGCGCGAUUCUUAAUAUUCUUAAUAUUCUUAAUGCGAUGAAAAUUCUUGGAAUAUCGAACGAAUCUUUUAACUUUUAAACAUAGACGGAAUCUAUUGCGUCUCUAAUUCGAGCGACGAUUUAAUUUUUCACCGAUAUGAGUAUCGGGUAUUCGUCUAAAACUGCUCGCAUCUCGCAGAUCGGACGAAUGGUAGCCUUCACACCGACAAUCUUUCAUUAAAAUUCAUUUCGUGUAGAGCGAAAACGCGAACAGUAGAUGAUACGAAUUUGGCGAAAACCGCGAACUCGGUAAUCUCGAAUCUCGAGUUUCGUAUGGGCUUGGUACCUACACGUUAACCUUUUACGCUUUGACUGCCAACUUGGACGAGUUUAAGAGUUAAUUGAUAACGCGAAUUCAAUAAAUGUUUGUAUUAUUUAUGCUUCUUUAAAGGAGGUAAUACUGUACUCCGUCUACCAGUCGUUGUAUGAAUUCAUGUACUCUUUGUUCCGUGUUAAAUUGUGCAAUCUUCAAUAAAGUGAUUGUGACUG
rnacentral:misc_RNA from 1 species